rnacentral:rRNA from 1 species
GACAGAGGGUGCAAACGUUGUUCGGAUUUACUGGGCGUAAAGCGCGUGUAGGCGGCUUUGCAAGUCGGAUGUGAAAGCCCACGGCUCAACCGUGGAAGUGCAUCCGAAACUGCAUGGCUGGAGUCUCGGAGAGGAAGGUGGAAUGCUUGGUGUAGAGGUGAAAUUCGUAGAUAUCAAGCAGAACACCUGCGGCGAAGGCGGCCUUCUGGACGGUAACUGACGCUGAGACGCGAAAGCGUGGGGAGCAAACAGG